rnacentral:misc_RNA from 1 species
AACGGUCUAUACCUGCGGUACCUGCGGAGGGAUCAUUACAGAGUUGCAAAACUCCCAAACCAUUGUGAACGUUACCUUCUCGUUGCUUCGGCGGGCGGCCCGGGUCCUUCCCGGCGCCCCCCGGCCCCUCGCGGGCGCCCGCCGGAGGUAAACCAAACUCUUGAAUUGUAUGGCCUCUCUGAGUCUUCUGUACUGAAUAAGUCAAAACUUUUAACAACGGAUCUCUAGAUCGGAAGAGCA